GACCGAGAAUUCACAGCAGAUUGAUGGGGCACACCAAGAUCUGUGCCUGUUCCUGCUGGGAUGCUCCCGUC
ensembl:miRNA gga-mir-1704 gga-mir-1704